CCAGCGCCACCGGCGACGCAGAAAAUGCGAACGUUGCCAUGCGAUGCGACGCGACGCUUUUCUCGCAAACUAAUUUUCGCUCGCUGAUCUCUGCACACCACCGGGAACCGACCGAUUAACCCUAUCUAUACACUUCAUCGCCGAGUAGUGCGUGCGUUCGACGAACCCGUCUUUGAACGGCCGGUGAACGCGCAAACGGCUGUCCAGAGCAACCAGAGCGCUGCAGUUUCGUCCGCUUUGCACGCUGGGGCUUGACGGUUUGUUUCCACGGUUGGUGUACUAUGUCAAAGCGAGCGACGAAGAGCGUGCGAUCUCUCAGCUUCAGGAAAUGUCGACGCGAUGUUGCGCACUGCUGUUCAUGUAAUCGAGAUGUAUAGUGUCGGUAGUGACACGUUAGUGUACGAGGAAAACUUUCCUCAUGCAUACGUAGAUACGUGCGUCGUGCAAUAUUCAUAGAAUCUCUUCCAGAAAGUUAAGAGUCAAUGGCUAUAGAGUAGAAACGAACUCGACAACGAAGGAUCUCGUACAUAUCCUUGAGCAUAGAAAUCCAUUCUGGAUGCUCUUCAACUUUUUAUAACGUUUCUAUUCAUUCGUCACCAAUUUGUUCCGUGAUCGUUUCAAUCCGAACGCGAUGAAUAGCCGGAAAUUAAAUUUACAAACUAUUUAAUUGCGAAUUAAAUGAGAAGCGUUUUAAUAAAAAAGAAAAGAAGAAGUUAUUGCCAGAAUGAUUGUUGAGAUAAAGUGGCUAGUUUCUCUCUGUAUCAUUGAUCUAUUGUUUUCAAUGAAUCAAUAAUUUCGGUGGAUGAUUGUAUCUGAUAGAGACAUCUAUCCAAGAAUGAGGAAAGUAUUCGUUAUCGACGUGAGCUGAAGAACUUUGUAAUCUACAGGACAUAAAGAGCUUUUUUAUCAAUAAAAGCUAAAGAUAUUUGGCACUAACUCAGCAGUGAUAACAUUAAUAGUUGAUAGAAUUAUAAUGAGAUUUAACCUGCGUUAACAUCAAAAGUGAUAUGAACGUAAUGAUUUAUUACAAUACAGACAUAUGUGAAAUCACAAAUUUACAUUCUAUUUCGUGCAUAUGACAUUGUAAUGUAUAUGUAUAUCUACAUAUU